GCUUACGGCCAUACCAGCCCAAGAACGCCUGAUCUCGAAAGCUAAAAAGGCUUGGGCCUGGUUAGUACUUGGAUGGGAGACCUCCUGGGAAUACCAGGUGCUGUAAGCU
ensembl:rRNA 5S_rRNA 5S ribosomal RNA